CCUACGGGUGGCAGCAGUGGGGAAUAUUGCACAAUGGGGGAAACUCUGAUGCAGCGAUGCCGCGUGAGUGAAGAAGUAACUCGUUACGUAAAGCUCCAUUAGUAGGGAAGAAAACGACGGUACCUGAGUAAGUAGAACAGGCUAAUUACGUGCCAGCUGGUGCGGUAAUAUGCAGGGGGCAAGCGUUAUCCGGAUUUACCGGGCGUAAAGUGAGUGUAGACGGUGGGCCAAGUCAGGAGUGAAAUGCCGAAGCUUAACUUCGGAACUGGUUUGGAUACUGGCGAACUAGAGUGGAGGAGGGGUAGGCGGAAUGCAUAGUGUAGCGGUGAAAUGCGUAGAGAUUAGGAAGAACACCGAUGGCGAAGGCAGCUUACUAGACCAUCACUGACGUUGAGGCUCGAAAGCGUGGGGAGCAAACAGGAUUAGAUACCCGUGUAGUC
rnacentral:rRNA from 1 species